rnacentral:rRNA from 1 species
GGACGCCAGUCUGCGUGGAGCCGACCUUGAAAUACCACCCUUUAAUGUUUGAUGUUCUAACGUGGACCCGUAAUCCGGGUUGCGGACAGUGUCUGGUGGGUAGUUUGACUGGGGCGGUCUCCUCCUAAAGAGUAACGGAGGAGCACGAAGGUUGGCUAAUCCUGGUCGGACAUCAGGAGGUUAGUGCAAUGGCAUAAGCCAGCUUGACUGCGAGCGUGACGGCGCGAGCAGGUGCGAAAGCAGGUCAUAGUGAUCCGGUGGUUCUGAAUGGAAGGGCCAUCGCUCAACGGAUAAAAGGUACUCCGGGGAUAACAGGCUGAUACCGCCCAAGAGUUCAUAUCGACGGCGGUGUUUGGCACCUCGAUGUCGGCUCAUCACAUCCUGGGGCUGAAGUAGGUCCCAAGGGUAUGGCUGUUCGCCAUUUAAAGUGGUACGCGAGCUGGGUUUAGAACGUCGUGAGACAGUUCGGUCCCUAUCUGCCGUGGGCGCUGGAGAACUGAGGGGGGCUGCUCCUAGUACGAGAGGACCGGAGUGGACGCAUCACUGGUGUUCGGGUUGUCAUGCCAAUGGCACUGCCCGGUAGCUAAAUGCGGAAGAGAUAAGUGCUGAAAGCAUCUAAGCACGAAACUUGCCCCGAGAUGAGUUCUCCCUGAGACUUAGAGUCUCCUGAAGGA